AUGCUCAAGGAAGAGGGGCUCCGCAAAGCUGCCAUUGAGGAGAGAAAAGCACACGCCUCUGAAAACAAAUCGAUGUCAUUGUUGCUUGCCGAAGAGAACAAGAUCAUGUCAAUGAACCGCAAUGACAUGGACGACCUCACCAAAACAUGGCAUGAUAUGGCAAGGAGAGAGAUCUUGAAGAGGAGAAUGGUAGCCUCGGCCGGUCCGUGUUCCAGUUCUGGUGAUGUUUUCUCUGCUCCAUAUGGUGGCAAUGUGGAUGAUUUCGGUGCGGGAGUUGGAACAAGCGACGAAGGUGGAUUCGGUGGCGCCGAUGAACUUCAAUAUGGACUCCAUGGCGCGGAGUGA
rnacentral:rRNA from 1 species